rnacentral:lncRNA from 1 species
ACAAAUACUUAUUGAUCAUCUUCUUCAUUAAACAAAGACAAAUGAGAAUUCGCUCCCCAAUUGCUGCUGCAGGUGGAGCCAACGGUGAGGACUGGCCAGAAGCCAUCAAAUCAAGGCCAGACAACUUUCGCUCCAAACUGGCCUUAUUCAGUAUGAAACUAUUGUUUUUGGGGACACAUGGGAGCUAUGCCCGCGCGUCUUACGUAAGGCGCCGCUGCAGUUAUGGUGGUGUCUAUAGUUACCGGAGAUAUAUCUAUCAUAUACGCGUCGGAAAAGUGUAUACAUCUCAUCAUAUUCACUUUACAUCUUUGUAAUAUUCCUUCAUUUCGGUUAUUAACCGAAUAACUGAAUAGUUAAUUUGGAUAUUCGGUUGUUCGGUUAUUGUACAAUUCGGUUAGUUGUUCGGAUAUUAAAAAUACAUUAAUUUCGGUUUUCAAUUCUAAUCAAACAAUACCGAUUAUAACCGAAUGCUCAGCCCUAUAGUUCUCCAGUAAACACACCAUCGUCCUAGGAACUGCACAUGCGCUUGUUUUUAACGUGUGCACAAACUGCGUUGCAGCCAGGUUUCUUUUACCCUCCUUAGGAUUUAUUAACGCCCGUUUUGGGCGAUAGCGGAUUCCAAGAUGGCGGCUUUGAUGGUGCAAUUUGAUGCACUUGAUAUCUAUUGGAAGUACAUCAUAUUGUAAUUAGAAAACUGUCAAACUUAAUAUUCCCUCAAUUCUAAAUUAUAAGAUCAUUGACUUUCAAA